UACGGGGGGUGCGAGCGUUGUCCGGAAUCACUGGGCGUAAAGGGCGCGUAGGUGGCCUGAUAAGGGUGUGGUGAAAGUCCGGGGCUCAACCCCGGAUCUGCCGUGCCGACUGUUAGGCUAGAGUACUGUAGGGGCAGGCGGAAUUCCGGGUGUAGCGGUGGAAUGCGUAAAGAUCCGGAGGAAGACCGGUGGCGAAGGCGGCCUGCUGGGCAGUUACUGACACUGAGGCGCGACAGCGUGGGGAGCAAACAGG
rnacentral:rRNA from 1 species